AAACCACAGAAUUUAAAGUCUAUGGAUGAUUGAAGCAGGAGCCUAAAGAGAUGUCUUUCUAUGGUCUGUUGGCCAUUUCAGAACUGGGGUAGUGAAAUGGUCGAUUCAUUAGAAAGAAACAGCU
ensembl:snoRNA